rnacentral:lncRNA from 10 species
UUGGACUUCUAGCCUCCAGCACUCUGAGAAAAUAAUUUCCUGUUACUUAAGCCACUCAGUCUGUGGUAUUUUGUUAUGGUAGUUCAAGUAGAUUAAUACACCUUUCUUCAAAGCUUAUUUAGGUAUUCCUCAGCCAAGAAACCCUCCUUCUGGGCACAAAAACCUGAACAACCACUUCAUUCUCAAGUUUCAAGGGAGUUCAGGUCCCAGAAAAGCUGUGAAAUUCAAUUUAAAAACCCCAAGGAACUUGGGGCUGGGGAUAGGGAGGUGCUCAAAGCUUAUUGUAUGCAGUAUUUUCAAACUGGGUCCACCACAGGUAACUGAAACCACAGAAAGCAAAACUGCAGACAAGAGUGGACUACUGCAUUUAAAAGGUGUUUGACAGUUCCUCCUUCACACACCCUCUUUCCUGCCUCCAUGUGACGAAGGUCUUUGCUUCUGCUUUGCCUACCACCAUGACUUUCUAGAUAUUGAGAAGUCCAAGAUUAAGGCAAUGGCAUUGAUGAGAGCCUUCUUGCUGGGUCCUGAAGAGGGGAGGAAUACCAUGUCCUCACAUGGCAGAAAGCGGAAGAGCAAAAAGAAAGAGAAAGAGAGAAAAGAGAGAGAGAGCAAAAUCCCUCCAUCAAGCCCUUUAUAAUGGCAUUAGUCCAUUCAUGAGAGCAGAGCAUUCAUGUUCUAAACAUCUCCCACCAGACCUCACCUUCCAACACUGUUGCAUCGGGGAUGGAUUUUCAACAUGACUUUUGAAGGGGACAAAAGCAUUCAAACCACAGCAAUUAGAAAAUGCACGUGGUAUAUAUUAAGUGACAAAAACCUAAACGAAUUUAGUGUAAACUGUUCUAAUGUUUGUCUAUCUUCCUUUCUGAGAACAAACAAUCGAUUCCAAUGAUUUUGGAUAACCACAUCGUGAAGUGGCUCUUUUUUCAAGGCUUGAAACAACAAAACUGAGGGAGUGAAUUAAGGGCAAAAAUCUACUUUUAAUUUAAGAAUUUAUAUGAGUGACUGGAGCACAGAGGGCAUUUAUAAGGGUGCUUACUAGGGAAGGGGGCAUCGAGUCACCACUGCUUUGGUCAAAUUGUACUUCAGUCAACCAAAUCUUCAUGGGUUCAUGGAACAAAUCAAGUAAUUGGGGAUCCAGCAGAAGUAAAGCACAACAAUCUAAAAGAAUAAUGGACCCACUGCCCAUUACUGACUAUACAUUGUAAAUAACCAGUCCAUGGAUGUGUCCCUGCAUUGGAACCCAAGAUUAAGAUUUGGAUAUGGAUGAUGUAUGCUUAUAUAAGUCUUUUUACUUGUUUGUCUACACUGUCUUAAUAAAUCAGUCUUUUUUUUCUACAUGCCUUGUGGAAAGUAUACUUCAUUUCAUCAAAAUAAAUAAGUAGGCUAGGGAGAUUUUGGAUAAAUUAGUCCUUAAAAUUAUCAAUUUAACCCAGAAAACACUUUAUAACCUGAUGUGGUUUGGCUGUUUCCCCACCCAAAUCUCAUCUUGAAUUGUAGUUCCCAGAAUUCCCAUGUGUUGUGUGAGGGGCCCAGUGGAAGGUAACUGAAUCAGGAGGAUGGGUCUUUCCUGUGCUGUUCUUGUGGUAAUGGAUAAGUCUCAUGAGAUCUGAUAGUUUUAUAAUGGGGAGUUCCCCUGCACACACUCUCUUGCUUGAUGCCAUGUAAGACAUGACUUUUGCUCCUCCUGUCUUCCGCCAUGAUUGUGAAGCCUCCUCAGCCAUGUAGAACUGUGAGUUCAUUAAACCCC